UUUGGAGGGCAAGUCUGGUGCCAGCAGCCGCGGUAAUUCCAGCUCCAAUAGCGUAUAUUAAAGUUGUUGCAGUUAAAAAGCUCGUAGUUGAAUUUCGGGAUCAAUUUAUUGGUCGUGCUAUUGUACGUACUGGUAUUAUUGAUUCCUACCUUCUGACGAACCAUGAUGUCAUUAAUUUGGUGUCAUGGGGAAUCAGGACUGUUACUUUGAAAAAAUUAGAGUGUUUAAAGCAGGCUCACGCUUGAAUACAUUAGCAUGGAAUAACGAAAUAGGACGUUUGAUUCUAUUUUGUUGGUUUCUAGGAUCGACGUAAUGAUUAAUAGGGAUAGUUGGGGGCAUUAGUAUUCAAUUGUCAGAGGUGAAAUUCUUGGAUUUAUUGAAGACUAACUACUGCGAAAGCAUUUGCCAAGGAUGUUUUCAUUAAUCAAGAACGAAAGUUAGGGGAUCGAAGACGAUCAGAUACCGUCGUAGUC
rnacentral:rRNA from 1 species